CCAGCAGCCGCGGUAAGACGGAGGGUGCAAGCGUUGUUCGGAAUUACUGGGCGUAAAGCGCGUGUAGGCUGUCCGAUAAGUCGAGUGUGAAAGCCCGAGGCCCAACCUCGGAAGUGCAUUCGAAACUGUCGGGCUUGAGUACGGGAGAGGGAAGUGGAAUUCCUGGUGUAGAGGUGAAAUUCGUAGAUAUCAGGAGGAACACCGGUGGCGAAGGCGGCUUCCUGGACCGAUACUGACGCUGAGACGCGAAAGCGUGGGGAGCAAACAGGAUUAGAUACCCUGGUAGUCCACGCCGUAAACGGUGAGCACUAGGUGUAGCGGGUAUUGACCCCUGCUGUGCCGCAGCUAACGCAUUAAGUGCUCCGCCUGGGGAGUACGGCCGCAAGGUUA
rnacentral:rRNA from 1 species